AUUGAACGCUGGCGGCAGGCCUAACACAUGCAAGUCGAACGAGUGGCGGACGGGUGAGUAAUGUCUGGGAAACUGCCUGAUGGAGGGGGAUAACUACUGGAAACGGUAGCUAAUACCGCAUACCAUCGGAUGUGCCCAGAUGGGCUUAGCUAGUAGGUGGGGUAAGGGCUCACCUAGGCGACGAUCCCUAGCUGGUCUGAGAGGAUGACAGGCAACACUGGAACUGGGACACGGGCCAGAGUCCUAGGGGGGGAAGCGGGGGGGAAUAUGGCACAAGGGGCGAAAGCCUGAUGAAGCCAGGCCGGGUGUAUGAAGAAGGCCUUGGGGUUGGAAAUUACUUUCAGCGGGGAGGCGUUACCCGCAGAAGAAGCACCGGCUAACUCCGGGCCAGCAGCCGCGUAAUUC
rnacentral:rRNA from 1 species